CUUGAAAGUCAGUGGUCUGCUAUCGUCUACUCCUCAGUUUAUGAUGGUCCUCACAUCUGAUGGGACUUCAGUCAAGAUAAGACCUGGAGCAGUGUGAUAACAAGUUGCAGUUACAUACCACAUGACCUUCCCUGUAGAAAGCUCAGGUCUACUAUAGCUGUAGAUCUGCUGUAUAAAUUGUUUCAACUCUUCAUUCCUCUCAAUAAUAUGAGAUCGGGUCUUGUCAGCUCUCCAGUCAUGCUCUUCCUUUUUGCAUCAAGAUAAGAAUAUGAUUGUGGAACUGGACUGAACUGUUUCUCUCAUCAUAGCCAGACCAGAAAAACACUUUCUUUUUUUUUUUUACUGAAGGGGAGAAUUUUGUUUGCAAGGGGGAGUCGGAUAAUAGCCAACCACCAUCGUCGUUUUCAGGACAUCGCAUGCUUCAUUGCAUCAUCUUGUGGAUAACAAUUUCUUUAUUCUCUGUUACAUUUUGUGCAUAACAUCCAAAAUAAUCUGAUUGCAUCCGAUAUUUUCAUAUUCAUUUUAGUUUUUUAAUGAUUAUUUUUCCAAGUAUUAAUAUCACACACCAACAACUUACCCACUGGGCACACACUGGUUGAAUCAACGUUGUUUCCACGUAAUUUCAUUGAAAUGACGUUGAACCAACGUGGAAUAGACGUUGAAUUGACGUCCGUGUCCAGUGGGUCUGAACAUGGUAGCAACAUCUAUGCAAUCUAAUGUGUCGACUGCUGCUGUUCAUGCAUGAGAAACUCCUAACACAAGCAAGUGGGAACAAUCUGACUACUUCUAGAAAACUGACUAGGCUAUGUAUUACUUCAAAUUCUGCUUAUUUUCAUCAGCCAUAGCAGCCAUUUCCAUGAUCUGCUUUAUGUGGAGAGGUUUAGAACUGCAGCCUGGUCUAAUCUUACCUGUUUGGGCUUUAAUGUUGGCUCUCAAAAGGUCUCCACUUGAAAGAUGCGUUAAUCCGAAACGUUUUACUAUGCGCCCAGACACUGUGCCCUUCCCUGAACCUGGCGGUCCCAUGAUAACCGUCCGGAAUAUCCUUUGUAGAACCAUUUUCCUAUGUUAUUGUUGUAAUCAGCACGUCCUUCCCAUAAAACUGAAAUUUGUGCGUUUAGACAAGAGAACUUCUGUUCGAGCGGAAUUCUCCACGCACCCUUGGUGGCCAAGUCUAUCCACUGUGUGCAAAAGUGCAAUCGCCUACUGUGGACGACUCCUGUAGCAGUUCUAGUUUGGCUCUUGAAAUCAGCUCUUUUUUCGAAGACCUUGACGAGGAAGAAGUUUAUAACGAGAAAACCGCUUCGUCUCGCUACACGGCGAGGGCGCUCGCAUCCACACAGCCCCAAUAUAACGACGUCAGGAAUAAUAGCGCACUCUGGCGGGCUUUGGGGCUGACAUCCACCAAGACGUGCACUGUUCGUCCGGCUGCUACAAGCGCUCACAGUUUUACAUCAGAAUUAGACGUUCAUCCAUGUUUCUCAAAGGUCACAUUUCGAAGUUGUUCCAUUGACUUGUAUAACGGGUGACCUGGCUUGUAUAGCCAGCCCACUAUAGCCUAUUUCCUGCCUUGACCUUAUUCAGGUCCAGUGAUUAAUAAAACACAUUACAUGAAGAAGAAAAAAAAUAUCAUAGUAGGAAAUGUGUCCUGUGAAUUGUAUAACACACUCUUAUGUAAUUCGUAUGGUGCCUGGGUUAAAUAGAAAAGCGUGUUGGCAAGUGUUAAUACUGCCUGGCUGGCUGCCAUUUAAUCCCUCAUCAGAUUUCAACUUCAAAUACUGUACAUUGGACCUGCUGAAACCGGGAAGGUGCACAGGAGACGGACUGUUUUCCGUUACAGAGCUGGCUGUAGUAGCCUAAUCCCCAUCACAAUUUCCCAGAUAUCUGUGCAUAUGGUGAAAUACGAGUUUUUAUUGCCUACUCUGUAGGAAUUCAAUUAAUAAUAUCCUUUACCCUAGAUAUGCACCACAUUCUUUUCUGUUGUUUGGUGUUUUCUAAAUAAGGGUAUGCCAUGUGCAUUUAUAGUCUUUUAUUUAGAACAAAAUAGUCGUAGGUCUAUUGUUCUUUAGUCAUAGUGUUCCUAGUUUAAAUUUGUGUUGCUGUUCUGGUACAUUGGAG
rnacentral:lncRNA from 1 species